CAGUAGCCGCGGUAAUACGUAGGUGGCAAGCAUUGUCCGGAAUUAUUGGGCGUAAAGGGCUCGCAGGCGGUUUCUUAAGUCUGAUGUGAAAGCCCCCGGCUCAACCGGGGAGGGUCAUUGGAAACUGGGAAACUUGAGUGCAGAAGGGGAGAGUGGAAUUCCACGUGUAGCGGUGAAAUGCGUAGAGAUGUGGAGGAACACCAGUAGCGAAGGCGACUCUCUGGUCUGUAACUGACGCUGAGGAGCGAAAGCGUGGGGAGCGAACAGGAUUAGAUACCCCGGUAGUCCCUGUCUCUUAUAC
rnacentral:rRNA from 1 species